AACGAACGCUGGCGGCAGGCCUAACACAUGCAAGUCGAACGUGAAGCCACCUUCGGGUGGUGGAAAGUGGCAGGCGGGGGAGUAACGCGUGGGAACGUGCCUUUCGGUUCGGAUAACCAGGGAAACUUGGGCUAAUACCGGAUACGCCCUUCGGGGGAAAGAUUCAUUGCCGAAAGAUCGGCCCGCGUCGGAUUAGCUAGUUGGAGGGGUAAAAGCCUACCAAGGCGACGAUCCGUAGCUGGUCUGAGAGGAUGACCAGCCACACUGGGACUGAGACACGGCCCAGACUCCUACGGGAGGCAGCAGUGGGGAAUAUUGGACAAUGGGCGCAAGCCUGAUCCAGCCAUGCCGCGUGGGUGAAGAAGGCCCUAGGGUUGUAAACCCCUUUCAGCGGGGAAGAUAAUGACGGUACCCGCAGAAGAAGCCCCGGCUAACUCCGUGCCAGCCGCCGCAGUAAAAC
rnacentral:rRNA from 1 species